rnacentral:sRNA from 1 species
GACUUAGGAACAAAAGCUAAAAGCGCCACGUCCUGUGGCAACGCUUUUGUGACCAACAUCGUGUUGG